rnacentral:lncRNA from 1 species
UGGUGUUGGUGGUGGUGGAGACUUGUACUUGUAGACUGGUGGUGGUGGUGAUUUAUAGUGGUAAUGAGGUGGAUGAGAGUGCACUGAGGGAGGUGGUGGUGGUGACUUGUAAUGGUAAGGAGGGGGAGGGGAGUGCACCGGAGGUGGUGGCGGUGGUGAUUUGUAGUGGUAAUGUGGUGGUAGGGAGUGCACCGGAGGUGGUGGUGGUGGUGACUUGUAGUGAUAUGGUGGUGGUGGUGGGGAGUGCACUGGGGUAGGAGGUGGUGGAGACUUGUAGUGAUAAGGAUGGGGAGGAAAGUGCACAGGAGGUGGCGGUGGUGGUGAUUUGUAAUGAUAAGUUGGUGGUGGGAAGUGCACCGGAGGUGGUGGUGGUGGCGGUGAUUUGUAAUGGUAAAGAGGAGAGGAGAAAUGGUCGGUAGCUGCGGUUUCUAAUGGCAAGUUUAGGGACACUAAUACCACUACAAGAGUGACCAUAAGAGUGUCCAUUUUGGACCCCUUCGCUAUUCUUACCAUCUUUUUUACUACAAAU